rnacentral:rRNA from 1 species
AUUGAACGCUGGCGGCAGGCCUAACACAUGCAAGUCGAACGAGUGGCGGACGGGUGAGUAAUGUCUGGGACACUGCCCGAUGGAGGGGGAUAACUACUGGAAACGGUAGCUAAUACCGCAUACCAUCGGAUGUGCCCAGAUGGGAUUAGCUGUUAGGUGGGGUAAUGGCUCACCUAGGCGACGAUCCCUAGCUGUUCGGAGAGGAUGACCAGCCAAACUGGAACGGGGACACGGUCCAGACUCCUACGGGAGGAAGCAGUGGGGAAUAUUGCACAAGGGGCGAAAGCCGGAUGCAGAAAUGCCGCGUGUAGGAAGAGGGCCUUCGGGUUGUAAAGUACUUUCAGCGAGGAGGCGGUACUCGCAGAAGAAGCACCGGCUAACUCCGUGCCAGCAGCCGCGGUAAUAC